GCGGGUUCUCCUGAAGGUCGCCGCCGGUGCCCGUCUCGGGCGUGGGCGAGGUCGGGGCCGGCAUCGUCGGUGCGGGAUCGGCGGCCGGCG
rnacentral:tRNA from 1 species